AACGAACGCUGGCGGCAUGCCUAACGCAUGCAAGUCGAACGAGACCUUCGGGUCUAGUGGCGCACGGGUGCGUAACGCGUGGGAACCUGCCCUUAGGUUCGGAAUAACUCCCCGAAAGGGGUGCUAAUACCGGAUAAUGUCUUCGGACCAAAGAUUUAUCGCCUUUGGAUGGGCCCGCGUUGGAUUAGCUAGUUGGUAGGGUAAAAGCCUACCAAGGCGACGAUCCAUAGCUGGUCUGAGAGGAUGAUCAGCCACACUGGGACUGAGACACGGCCCAGACGGGUGCGGGGGGGGAGGGGGGGGGAGGAGGGAAGAGGGGGCAAGAGCUGGACCGAGUAGGGGGGGGAGGGUGAGGGUGGCUUGGGUGUUGUAACGCGUUGUGACGGGGGAGGAAAAAGACAGCGCGGGAAGAAGAACCGCCGACAACCCCCGCGCCAGCAGCCGGGGUAAAAGCGGGAAGAGCCAAGGUCUGCCC
rnacentral:rRNA from 1 species